rnacentral:lncRNA from 1 species
CCCCAAAGCACAACCGAUCCCGAACUCCCUCAAGGGGAUUUCAAUGGCAGGGUCCAGUUAAGAAACAACAUCUAUCUCCGUCCAAAAAAUUUAUCAAUUAUACUCCCCUCAAUGUUCCCCGGACAUAGGUCCUUAUGGAGGUGCAUGGCCAGAUCUCUCAACCUUAAAGAAUGACGGGGAACCCAAUGCGCCAAAAUCCAAAUAAGUUCUGUCUUUAUCAUCGUGACCACGACCACGACAACGAAGAUCGUGCCCAGCUUUAGGAUUAGAUUGAAGAGCUUAUUUACCGUGGAUGUCUGGAUUGAUUUAUCAGACACCAUCUCGAA